rnacentral:rRNA from 1 species
GACGAACGCUGGCGGCGUGCUUAACACAUGCAAGUCGAACGGAAAGGCCCUGCUUUUGUGGGGUUCUCGAGUGGCGAACGGGUGAGUAACACGUGAGUAACCUGCCCUUGACUUUGGGAUAACUUCAGGAAACUGGGGCUAAUACCGGAUAGGAGCUCCUGCUGCAUGGUGGGGGUUGGAAAGUUUCGGCUGUUGGGGAUGGACUCGCGGCUUAUCAGCUUGUUGGUGUGGUAGUGGCUUACCAAGGCUUUGACGGGUAGCCGGCCUGAGAGGGUGAACGGCCACAUUGGGACUGCGAUACGGCCCAGACGCCUACGGGAGGCAGCAGUGGGGAAUAUUGCACAAUGGGCGGAAGCCUGAUGCAGCAACGCCGCGUGCGGGAUGACGGCCUUCGGGUUGUAAACCGCUUUCGCCUGUGACGAAGCGUGAGUGACGGUAAUGGGUAAAGAAGCACCGGCUAACUACGUG